CCCAGGGCGGAGCCGGGAGAGCCCGGGCUCCCUUCCCGCUGGGGGCUGGGGGCGGGGGGAAGGGGCCCUGGAAUAGCACACACCUGGGACCCCAGCGGUCGGCCAAGCCAAAUGGAAACUGCCUGUUGUCCAUGUCAUCGUGCCUCCUCGGCCGCGCAAAGCGUUGGCCGCCGUGGGCUCCCUGCACCCCGAGUCCAAGCGAGCUGGUUGGAGCCGUGCGCCCCCUGCCGCGCCACACGCCUCCUGACUGGCCCCUUGUUCGGAGGCCUGGCGCGCCCCCUGCCGCCCGAGGCCGGCGCGCCAGGUGUGGCCGGGGCACUGCCCUGGCGCUCGGAGGCAGGUCACCGGGGCCAGGGAGCCCUGGACCCGGAACAGGGCCGCCGUAGGGCGAGGCCAGAGUGCCAGGAGCCAGGCCUCCGCGGGGAAACGGGAUUCUGCCCGUUUCCACACCGUGUUUGACCCCAGGGCGCCUGUACUGCCCCUGAAGGCCAGGCUGGAGGAAAGACGACUACCUUGGGAGAGCGGGGGGCCUGGGGAAAAGUUUCAACCCAUCCAGUGAAGGUAUCUACAAAUACCAAGAUGUAUUUGAAACCCCAGGGACCAGGGACAUGACAGCAAAAGGAUUGCGGGUGAUCAUCUCCCAUGCUUGGAUCCUCGGUCUCAGGCCACAGUGUUUG